ACAGACACAUACACGAUUUAUAUCCAAAAGCAUUUAGAUGAAGUCAUUUAAAUUCAAAAUGUAACCAUAGCAAACCACUAACUCACGGAAUAGUAUCAACACGUAUAGUGAUGAUGAUGAUGAAAGAGAUACACAUCUUUAUUUUGCUGAGUUCUUGAAAGAAAACAGGCGGAGAUUGGUGGGGACAAGCUCCCUUAGCUUGAAAGGAUGGCACCUUUAACCCAUACGGUUGAUUAUCACGGAUUUAUCAUACAUCAUUCUACUCAGUUAUACGUUGCAUCGAUCUAGUGUAUUGAAAGUAAAAAAAAAGUGAAAAACAAGUUUUGGUUGUUUUGCAAAUUCCAAAUAUAACUUCAAAUUGUAUUUGGAAUUUUUAUGGCCAAAUACCAUAAAGUGAAAAAAGUGAAAAAAAAUUCUGGAAAAAAAUGAAUAAUUCUCAUGGACAAACAGGCCCUUAGACUUGCAUGUUGCAAGAUGACCAUUUAGCAUGCAGAAGCAACUUGUUAUAAUUACAAGA